AACGAACGCUGGCGGCGCGCCUAACACAUGCAAGUCGAACGCGAAAGUGUAGCAAUACAUGAGUAAAGUGGCGCACGGGUGAGUAACGCGUAGGUGAUCUACCCUUGUGAUCGGGAUAACCAGCCGAAAGGUUGGCUAAUACUGGAUAGAGCGCAACGGUCAUAAAGACUGAUGCGGGAAAUGAGGGCGUAGACACUGAAUGUUCAAACGGGAGUUUGAAGAUGAGUGUUUACGCUCUUGCACUGGGAUGAGCCUGCGUCUCAUUAGCUAGUUGGUAGGUAAUGGCCUACAAGGCAUUGAUGGGUANCUGGUCUGAGAGGACGAUCAGCCACACUGGAACUGAAACACGGUCCAGACUCCUACGGAGGCAGCAGUGGGGAAUCUUGCGCAAUGGACGAAAGUCUGACGCAGCGACGCCGCGUGGGUGAAGAAGGCC
rnacentral:rRNA from 1 species